AUACGUAGGGGGCGAGCGUUGUCCGGAAUGAUUGGGCGUAAAGGGCGCGUAGGUGGCCCGGUAAGUCUGGAGUGAAAGUCCUGUUUUUAAGAUGGGAAUUGCUUUGGAUACUGUCGGGCUUGAGUGCAGGAGAGGUAAGUGGAAUUCCCAGUGUAGCGGUGAAAUGCGUAGAGAUUGGGAGGAACACCAGUGGCGAAGGCGACUUACUGGACUGUAACUGACGCUGAGGCGCGAAAGUGUGGGGAGCAAACAGGAUUAGAUACCCUGGUAGUCCACACUGUAAACGAUGAAUGCUAGGUGUAGGGGGUAUCGACCCCUUCUGUGCCGCAGUCAACACAAUAAGCAUUCCGCCUGGGGAGUACGGCCGCAAGGUUGAAACUCAAAGGAAUUGACGGGG
rnacentral:rRNA from 1 species